GUGGGGAAUCUUCCGCAAUGGACGAAAGUCUGACGGAGCGACGCCGCGUGAGUGAAGAAGGCCUUCGGGUCGUAAAGCUCUGUCAUCAGGGACGAACGGCCGGUGGAGUGGAAAGCCACCGGAUUAACGGUACCUGAGAAGGAAGCCACGGCUAACUACGUGCCAGCAGCCGCGGUAAUACGUAGGUGGCAAGCGUUGUCCGGAAUUAUUGGGCGUAAAGCGCGCGCAGGUGGGAUCUUAAGUCCAUUUUUAAAGUUCGGAGCUCAACUCCGUGAUGGGAUGGAAACUGGGAUUCUUGAGUACCGGAGAGGAAAGCGGAAUUCCCCGUGUAGCGGUGAAAUGCGUAGAUAUUAGGAAGAACACCAGUGGCGAAGGCGACUUUCUGGACGAAAACUGACGCUGAGGCGCGAAAGCCAGGGGAGCGAACGGGAUUAGAAACCCCGGUAGUCC
rnacentral:rRNA from 1 species